rnacentral:rRNA from 1 species
UACGGAGGGUGCAAACGUUGUUCGGAAUUACUGGGCGUAAAGCGCGUGUAGGCGCUUGGCAAGUCAGAUGUGAAAUCCCUCGGCUCAACCGAGGAACUGCAUUUGAAACUGCCAAGCUAGAGUACGGGAGAGGGUAGUAGAAUUCCCGGUGUAGAGGUGAAAUUCGUAGAUAUCGGGAGGAAUACCGGUGGCGAAGGCGGCUACCUGGACCGAUACUGACGCUGAGACGCGAAAGCGUGGGGAGCAAACAGGAUUAGAUACCCGCGUA